GGGGAGCGGCCGACGGGUGAGUAACGCGUGGGAAUCUACCCAGCUCUACGGAAUAACCCAGGGAAACUUGGACUAAUACCGUAUACGUCCUUCGGGAGAAAGAUUUAUCGGAGUUGGAUGAGCCCGCGUUGGAUUAGCUAGUUGGUGGGGU
rnacentral:rRNA from 1 species